rnacentral:rRNA from 1 species
GGGCCCGCACAAGCGGUGGAGCAUGUGGUUUAAUUCGAUGAUACGCGAGGAACCUUACCAGGGUUUAAAUGUAGAAUGACCGGGGUGGAAACACCCCUUUCUUCGGACAGACUACAAGGUGCUGCAUGGUUGUCGUCAGCUCGUGCUGUGAAGUGUCGGGUUAAGUCCCAUAACGAGCGCAACCCCCAUUUCUAGUUGCCAGCGGUUCGGCCGGGGACUCUAGAGAAACUGCCAGCGUAAGCUGUGAGGAAGGUGGGGAUGACGUCAAAUCAUCACGGCCCUUACAUCCUGGGCCACACACGUGCUACAAUGGUAGGGACAACAGGUUGCCAACCCGCGAGGGUGAGCCAAUCCCAAAACCCUAUCUCAGUUCGGAUCGGAGUCUGCAACUCGACUCCGUGAAGUUGGAAUCGCUAG